rnacentral:tRNA from 1 species
GGAGGAGUGCCGGAGCGGCUGAACGGGGCGGUCUCGAAAACCGUUGUGGGAGGUGACUUCCACCCAGGGUUCGAAUCCCUGCUCCUCCGCCA